rnacentral:rRNA from 1 species
UAGUCUCGCACAGAUGCAUAUCAAUAAGCGGAGGAAAAGAAACUAACAAGGAUUCCCCUAGUAACGGCGAGUGAAGCGGGAAGAGCUCAAAUUUGAAAUCUUAAAGGGUUUCCCUUUACGAAUUGUAGUUUAAAGAAGUGUUUUCUGUUGAGGUUUUGGUAAAAGUUCUUUGGAAUAGGACAUCAUAGAGGGUGAGAAUCCCGUAUUUGACCUUUACUUUCAACUUUGUGAUACACUUUCAAAGAGUCGGAUUGUUUGGGAAUGCAGUCCAAAAUGGGUGGUAAAUUUCAUCUAAAGCUAAAUAUUGGCGAGAGACCGAUAGCGAACAAGUACCGUGAGGGAAAGAUGAAAAGAACUUUGAAAAGAGAGUUAAACAGUACGUGAAAUUGUCAAAAGGGAAGCGUUUGACACCAGUGUUAUUUUUCUGAAAAUCAAUUAAAGAACUGUUUAUGCUAAGCUGUUUAGACUUUAUCAGCUAACUGUUUAGUUUUGAGCUUUUCUUUAAUGCACUUUUCAGUUAACAAGUCAACAUCAAUUUCUUUUGCUGUAAAAAAGCUUGAGGAAGGUGGCUUGAGAUUCGUCUCAAGUGUUUAUAGCCUCUUGCCUAUGCAGUCGGAGAGAUUGAGGUCUGCAGCGUAGAUCCUUCGGGGCUAAAUGCAUUUGUGCUAAGUUAUAGCAUUUUAUAGACAACUUGUUGACUAUGAUUUGUCUUGUAGCUUACUCGCUUAUGUUAUUUUACCUACGCUUAGGAUGUUGAAGACUCUACAGAGAUA